rnacentral:rRNA from 1 species
AUUGAACGCUGGCGGCAGGCCUAACACAUGCAAGUCGAACGAGUGGCGGACGGGUGAGUAAUGUCUGGGAAACUGCCCGAUGGAGGGGGAUAACUACUGGAAACGGUAGCUAAUACCGCAUACCAUCGGAUGUGCACAGAUGGGAUUAGCUUGUAGGUGAGGUAACGGCUCACCUAGGCGACGAGCCCUAGCUGGCCUGUGAGGAUGACCAGCCGCACGGGAAAUGAGACACGGUCCAGACGCCUACGGGAGGCAGCAGUGGGGAAUAUUUGACAAUGGGCGCAAGCCUGAUAGAGCCAUGCCGCGUGUAUGAAGAAGGCCUUCGGGUUGUAAAGUACUUUCAGCGGGGAGGCGUUACCCGCAGAAGAAGCACCGGCUAACUCCGUGCCAGCCGCCGCGGUAAUAC